rnacentral:rRNA from 1 species
ACGGGUGAGUAAUGCCUAGGAAUCUGCCUGGUAGUGGGGGAUAACGUUCGGAAACGAACGCUAAUACCGCAUACGUCCUACGGGAGAAAGCAGGGGACCCUCGGGCCUUGCGCUAUCAGAUGAGCCUAGGUCGGAUUAGCUAGUUGGUGAGGUAAUGGCUCACCAAGGCGACGAUCCGUAACUGGUCUGAGAGGAUGAUCAGUCACACUGGAACUGAGACACGGUCCAGACUCCUACGGGAGGCAGCAGUGGGGAAUAUUGGACAAUGGGCGAAAGCCUGAUCCAGCCAUGCCGCGUGUGUGAAGAAGGUCUUCGGAUUGUAAAGCACUUUAAGUUGGGAGGAAGGGCAGUUACCUAAUACGUGAUUGUUUUGACGUUACCGACAGAAUAAGCACCGGCUAACUCUGUGCCAGCAGCCGCGGUAAUACAGAGGGUGCAAGCGUUAAUCGGAAUUACUGGGCGUAAAGCGCGCGUAGGUGGUUUGUUAAGUUGGAUGUGAAAUCCCCGGGCUCAACCUGGGAACUGCAUUCAAAACUGACUGACUAGAGUAUGGUAGAGGGUGGUGGAAUUUCCUGUGUAGCGGUGA